AAGUAUUCAGCCCGGGCACAUGCAGUGGCACUCACCUCCCUGCUGUCUCUGGCCGCUGGUUUGUCUGGGACAGGAUUUCCCGAAGUGCUCUCACCCAGCCCUACUCUCUGAGGACAGUCCUACCCGAAUACUGGAACUCACAGGUGGAAAGAGUAAAGUGAUCUGCUGGAAUUACACUGAGAGGGAGAUGGGUGGAUCCUAUGCUUAGAAGGGCAGAGGAACUUCUUACAGCAAAAGGUAAGACUGAUGAUGGGUUUUUUCAUCCAGGUCUCUGAAUUUGUGAAUAAUGGAUAUGUAUUGGUAAAACCUUACAAGUAACUUUAGUAUUCUGUAACUGCUGGGUUAAGUGAUCAUUUUCUGAUGCUAAGCCCUUCACGUAACUUUUAUGAGAGCCAGUUUUGGCAUGUGCUUUAAAUACACCUUCAGCGAUUUUUGUAUGUUUUUAAGUAUUUUAUGGCAAAUAGAAUUUAACUGUUGAGACUUAGUUUUACUUAUUACCACUUUCUGAAAUUUCUGCUUCAUUAUCCUGCUUUCCCCCUGGAUAUUUCCAAUAUCUUGUUCGAAAUGUUCCAGAUGGAGUCUGGAGAGAAGAGAAAUUAAUAGAUGACGUGAAUUUAAGUUCAUUGUAGUUUUUAAAGGGUUGUAACUUUAAAUGCUUUUUUGCUUUAAGCUGUUUCCAUCUUACUAGAUGUGCAUGGUUAGCACAAGAACCUGUUGAAUCUGUUUAAAGUUGCAAGUGUGUAAUGAGCUUUCAUGGGGGUUUUGGUAUUUGCUUUUGGUAUUUUUCCACUGUAUAAUUGUAUUUUAUGCAGGAGUUAUUUCUUUUGGGGAAAAUAUAGGCCAGAGUGUUUUCAUGUUGUGUAAGCAGCUUUGUUUUUGUUCAUGUACCUUUAUGGCACAAUUUUGUAUAAUGGGUUUCAUCACAUAAAUAAAAUAGAUUUUUUUUUUCUUGUUCUAAGGAAAAAUCUCCAGGGUACUUAAAAUCUCAAGUAUAACAGCUUUAAACGAAAUAUAAAUAGGAGAAGAUAUGCGUGCUGCUACCAAAGGUGAAUUAAUAUGUUGAAAAUCUCCUCUCACAAAACAGCAUUACUUGGUUUGUAGAAACCUUGUCCCAUGUAUUGGAACACUCACCAGAAGACUUAACAAUUUCUAUCAGCAUGUAAAUAAGGCUCUGUAAUUAGCAGUCUUGUGUAUUGUUCAGCCUUUUGUGUGAUGAGUGGUAAAGGGACUCUAGUAGGUUUUCUCAGGAUUGAAGAUAAUGAUUCAAAGAUAAUGUACAAAGUGAAUAUAAAAAAGAAAAUUCAUUCUGAUCUUAGCAGUUGAUGAGUUUAUGCUUGGCCUCUUAGAUGCAAUUUAUUGUUUUCUGGUCACUGUGGCUUUCACAUGCUAACACCAAUCCCAAAUUAUCUCCUCUUGGUGCAGUACCUCACAUACAAUCUCACCAACAGGAAAUUCUGCCACAUGUGUCUGUGCUUCCAUAACCCCUACUUCAUGUCAAUGUCUCUAUAUUAGCUUUUCUUAGGGUGUCCCUAAAUUUAAUUUUGAUAGAACACAAACUACAUAAUUCCCAUUACAGAAUGAGGUAAUGCUUUCUGUGGAGCUAAAACAAUGCAUGGUACAUCAUUUACAAGGACUUGGGUCUGAUCUCAUCUAGAUAGGCAAGGAUUGCUGUGUUCCUUGUUGCAUUCACUUACGAGCUGAUUUUACAGGGCUCAGUACACAGCAGUAGGGGCUGGGAUAUCUUGUGUCAAAAUCAGGUCAAGGAACUUGAUCAGCUACAGUUCUCUUCCAAAGUGGGGACUGAUGUGGUGCAGUAUGUUCCAGGAAACUGGGAGUCAAAACUGAAAUUUCAGCUGUUAAUAACACAUGAAAUACAAUUCCAUACAAUUAUUUGUAUUGAAUGGUCACUAUUUUAAUAGUUGACAUGCAUGAGAAUCUGUACUGUGUUGACAUUUGAACAUACACUGCAGUUUAGAACAUCAAACAAUGUGAAAUGUGAUGCUGCAGCUGUAUUCUUUUGGCAGUAAUUCCAUCAUAAGGACUUCUACCAGAUUUCUACAUUUUGCCCCCUUUGCCUUAAUUUUGGUCAGUCUCUGCUUCUAACAUUAUAGUUAAAAUAACACUUAUAUUUUGUCAUGCUGUUUUGUAUUUCUUUGUACUUAUCAUAAGAAAUUAUGACUGUCUUAAGCCUGGUUCAGCAAACAUACCUCCAGUUUCUUUAGAUGAUUCUCUUUAUUACCAGAUUUGUUGCAACACUGUGUUUUCUCUUUUUUUUUUUACACAUGCCUAUCCCCCCCCACCCUGCAAGUAGAGCAUAUUUCUGGGCUGUAGCACAUCAGUGACAUCACUAGCCUUGUAAAAAAUUUGGGCAUUUUAAUAGUCAUAGAUUGUUGGUGACUUACAGCAAAGUUUUCUUGUGUCUGAGAAAUAUUUUCAAUAUUACAGUAUAUUAUAUACAACAGGCCAAA